rnacentral:rRNA from 1 species
CCUACGGGCGGCAGCAGUGGGGAAUAUUGGACAAUUGGGGCAACCCUGAUCCAGCCAUGCCGCGUGUGUGAAGAAGGCCCUCGGGUUGUAAAGCACUUUCAGUGAGGAAGAACGCCUGGUGGUUAAUACCCAUCAGGAAAGACAUCACUCACAGAAGAAGCACCGGCUAACUCCGUGCCAGCAGCCGCGGUAAUACGGAGGGUGCGAGCGUUAAUCGGAAUUACUGGGCGUAAAGCGCGCGUAGGUGGCUUGAUAAGCCGGUUGUGAAAGCCCCGGGCUCAACCUGGGAACGGCAUCCGGAACUGUCAAGCUAGAGUGCAGGAGAGGAAGGUAGAAUUCCCGGUGUAGCGGUGAAAUGCGUAGAGAUCGGGAGGAAUACCAGUGGCGAAGGCGGCCUUCUGGACUGACACUGACACUGAGGUGCGAAAGCGUGGGUAGCAAACAGGAUUAGAUACCCCAGUAGUC